AUUUAGCUGGAAAAUGCUGGUAGUUACAAAUUAUGAUCGAUAUACAUUCAAUACCAUAAUUCAGUUCAAAUCUAUCUUUAUUAGACUAGAUUAAAAGGGAAAAUAUAACUUACAUUCAGCGUGAAGUCAUAGAAUUUCAUGUCAAGGAAUAAAUCUGUGAUUUUUUAAAAUAUUGUUCUUACUUACUUUGUUUCCAUAGAACGCUGAUUCAAGCGCUAUCAAAGAAGAUUUCGAUGAAGUGAAGAACAGAAUUACAGAGUUUGACUUUAAGGCUCCUGUGUGCAGAGAAGAUAUCAGACAAAACAGUCAGGAAACACCAACUGGCGGCGACCUUGGUAGAUCUAAGAGAAACGUAAGAAAAUACUCUGAUGCAGUUGAAGCUAGGGUAUAUGUAAGACCUAGAAGAAGAGUGAAGUCAGAAUCAGAAGCAUCUGCCUCUUCUGCGCAGCUUUCUUAUAUUACCGAGGGUGGAAACUGUGAUAAACAGAUAUCAUUCAAAUGUUUAAGUGGUUGAAGAAUAACAAACAUCAUUAAAUUUUCUCUUUGAAAAUUUCAUUAAUUUUGAGUCAAAAUACUCUGAUUUUUGUGACUUAAGAA